rnacentral:SRP_RNA from 1 species
GCCAGGCAUGGUGGCGUGUGCCUAUAGUCCCAGCUACUUGGGAGGCUGAGUUGGGAGGAUCGCUUGAGCCUAGGAGGUUGAGGCUGCAGUGAGCUAUGAUUGUACCACUGCACUCCAGCCUGGGUAACAGAGCAAGACCCCAUCUCAA